UAGACUAGACUUUCAGGGAUCAUUGGUACAGUUCACUACUAGGGAAGUUUUUACGAUCAUGCAGAGCACCCAAAACCAUGAGGAAGAGUCAAGAGCACCCUCUCCCUGAGCAGGAAGCCAGUUUAGGUGUUGCUUUUGCAACGGUCUUUUGCCACUAAUGAUCAUUCUUUUCUUCCCUUGAAAGAGGGAGAGGGAGAGGAUGCAGUCAGUGUAGC